UCGGAACGUACCUUAUCCGUCGGGGGAUAACGCAGCGAAAGUUGCGCUAAUACCGCAUACGCCCUGAGGGGGAAAGCGGGGGACCGUAAGGCCUCGCGCGAUUAGAGCGGCCGAUGUCUGAUUAGCUUGUUGGUGAGGUAAAUGCUCACCAAGGCGAUGAUCAGUAGCUGGUCUGAGAGGACGAUCAGCCACACUGGGACUGAGACACGGCCCAGACUCCUACGGGAGGCAGCAGUGGGGAAUUUUGGACAAUGGGGGCAACCCUGAUCCAGCAAUGCCGCGUGAGUGAAGAAGGCCUUCGGGUUGUAAAGCUCUUUUGUCAUGGAAGAAACAGCAGCCCUAACACAGUCUGCGAAUGACGGUACCUGAAGAAUAAGCACCGGCUAACUACGUGCCAGCAGCCGCGGUAAUACGUAGGGUGCGAGCGUUAAUCGGAAUUACUGGGCGUAAAGCGUGCGCAGGCGGUUAUACAAGACAGGCGUGAAAUCCCCGGGCUUCAACCUGGGAAUGGC
rnacentral:rRNA from 1 species